rnacentral:rRNA from 1 species
UACAGAGGUCCCAAGCGUUGUUCGGAUUCAUUGGGCGUAAAGGGCGCGUAGGCGGCUUGUACAGUCAGACGUGAAAUUCCUGGGCUCAACCUGGGGGCUGCGUUUGAUACGUGCGGGCUUGAGUUCGGAAGAGGGUCGUGGAAUUCCCAGUGUAGAGGUGAAAUUCGUAGAUAUUGGGAAGAACACCGGUGGCGAAGGCGGCGACCUGGUCCGAUACUGACGCUGAGGCACGAAAGCUAGGGGAGCAAACAGG